rnacentral:lncRNA from 1 species
GGACCAAAAUAUUUCAUGUCUUAAUAAACUAAAAUCAUAAUUAUAUAUUUAAAUAUAUUAAUUAGUUUUAUAUAUAAUAUCCUAACAAUAUUCAAAAUAAGAAAAAUACUCUGAAACUAUAGCUAAAAGUAAAUAUUCGAAGAUAUCCCAAAAUACUUAAAACAUGAGAAAAACUCUAAGGCUUCAAUUGGUGACCACUAGAAGAAUGGAACAAAAAAAAAAAAAAUUUCAUUUGAGAAAUUGAAAAAAAAACAAUGAAUUUUUGUUCAUUUUGUUCUUCAUCAAAAUUGCAGAGAUGAAUUUUUCUUUAUAAAUUCAUUCUUCCGUGAGGAAUUCAGAG